CUACGGGGGGCACCAGUGAGGAAUUUUGCGCAAUGGGGGAAACCCUGACGCAGCAACGCCGCGUGAGUGAAGAAGGCUUUCGGGUCGUAAAGCUCUGUCAAGUGGGAAAAAAAGUUCUCGAUUAAUAGUCGGGAGACCUGAUGGUACCACUGGAGGAAGCACCGGCUAACUCCGUGCCAGCAGCCGCGGUAAUACGGAGGGUGCAAGCGUUGUUCGGAAUUACUGGGCGUAAAGAGCGUGUAGGCGGUUUGGCAAGUCAGAUGUGAAAGCCCUGGGCUCAACCCAGGAAGUGCAUUUGAAACUGCCAUCCUUGAGUAUGGGAGAGGAGAGUGGAAUUCCCAAUGUAGAGGUGAAAUUCGUAGAUAUUGGGAGGAACACCCGUGGCGAAGGCGACUCUCUGGACCAAUACUGACGCUGAGACGCGAAAGCGUGGGGAGCAAACAGGAUUAGAUACCCGCGUAGUC
rnacentral:rRNA from 1 species